rnacentral:tRNA from 1 species
GGCGGCGGUGGCCGAUGGCAUGGUGCCGCUCGCGCUCGGCACGCAGACCGGCGGCUCGGUGAUCCGCCCCGCCGCCU